UGCUUUUCCGCCUACAAAUAUGAGAAAACCUUCCUCACAGUUUCUUCCAACUUCAUCUUCCUCUUCUCUCAUUUUUUACAUCACCCUUCCUUUGUUUCCAUCAUUUCGUGAUAACAACAACACCCUCUCGCCUCCAACACACACCUCUUUUUUUUCUUUUUCUUUUAAGGUUGUUAACUGCUUCCCUUUUCCGAGGUUUAUUUAAGGUUGUCGGUCUCGACCUGUUCCAGAUUUCGGAUUUUGUCGCAUUGCGAUCUGGUUUUUGUUCUGUUUGAUCCACUUCUUCGGCUUUGCUUCAUCUCCUUCUCUGGGUCUUCUAAAUUUUUGUUUUUUUAUUUGUUUGAAUUUUCAAGUUCGGUUUUUUAAACCUGCUGGAAAUUCUGAACGGUUUUUGCUUUUAAAAAAUAUUAAAUUUUUUUGUGGUCCAAAUUUUCAUGGUCAGGGAUCAGGAAGAGAUAAAUUAAAAACAAACAAAAAAAAACAAAAAAACUAGGAGUGGUGAAUUCCCGUCAUGUUUUUCUUUGGGUCCUGUUUUUCUGGAAGUUGAUGAAAUCGGGGCUUGUCUCUAUUUAAAUUUCAUUGGGAUAUUUUGCUGUUGUUUUUUUUUAUCUUCCAACCUGUAAUGUGUUCUAAUUUCAAUGGAGCUUCUGCACUCUAUUUUCUUUACAUGGAAGUUUGCAUAUAUUGUUAGAUCCCUUGGGAAUUUACAUGAUAUUCAUCUCUAUUUAUGUUUUUUUUUGGUUCAGGGUUUAGCUUAAACCAGGAUUUUGGGCACCGAUUUCUCUAUGGGAGAAGCACCAGCAUUGCUUGUUGAUGACGUGCAGGAUGGGGCUCUGAAUGGCCUUGAAUUGAAAAACGUAACUUGCAAAACAACUGCUACAGUUGGCGAUAAGGCGUAUGUCAUUGGUGGAGCUGAUGAUGGAACUUUGUCCAUUGAAGUUCAAAUUUUUGACCGUAGUCUUGGAGAAUGGGUUCGUCCCACUGUGCGGGGCACCAAACCUGUGUCGUGCAAUGGCCUCUCAGCUGUGCCUUUGGAAGACCGAAUACUGAUUCUUAAGAAGGGUUCUAAGCCAGAUGAUCAAAUAUGGUUCCUGGAGAUUGACACCCAAUAUGUUAGGCAGCAGCAAAAAAUUUUGGGGUCUGAGGUGGUUGCAUGGAGUAAAGGUGUGAUAGGCAAUGCUGAGAAGCCUGUUGUUAUUAGUGGUCCUUCUGGAGUAGGCAAAGGAACACUGAUAUCAAUGCUUAUGAAGGAAUUUCCAUCCAUGUUUGGUUUUUCUGUGAGCCACACCACCCGUGCUCCAAGAGGUAUGGAGAAAGACGGGGUCCAUUACCAUUUUACUGAGAAGAGUAUAAUGGAGAAAGAAAUCAAAGAGGGAAAGUUUCUUGAGUUUGCUUCCGUCCAUGGUAAUCUGUAUGGAACAAGUGUUGAGGCUGUCGAACUGGUAGCAGAUGCAGGGAAAAGAUGUAUUCUUGAUAUUGACGUUCAAGGUGCAAGAUCUGUGAGGGCCAGUUCUCUUGAAGCCAUAUUCAUCUUUAUCUGUCCUCCAUCAAUGGAGGAGCUGGAGAAGCGCCUUCGUGACCGAGGGACAGAGACCGAGGAACAGAUCCUUAAGCGACUACGUAAUGCUGAGGCUGAGAUUGAGCAAGGGAAAUCUUCUCAAGUAUUUGAUUUCAUCCUAUACAAUGAAAAACUUGAGGAGUGUUAUGAGAGACUUAAGAAACUAUUGGGACUUGACGGUUUCAUCACUGCUCCACCUAAAUCCGGACCUAUAGAGAUUGAUUUACCAAUGGACCAUUCAGUGUCCAAAAUUGAUAACAAAAUCAUCAUAAACUGCAUCUCCUCAGGAGAAAAGGAAUCCAAGAAUUUGAUCAUUUUGGAUGUUUCCUCACUAAAAGGGGGUGUACCUGGACGGACAAGAGGCCUAAAUUUCCAAGCCAUUGGCUCGUUCUCAAAUGGCUUGAAUGGGAUAGAUCAACUUAGCUAACAUUCAAUGAACUUGGCCAACUAACUUGGUAUUGAAGAAAUGGGACACAUUGAUAAGGCAUUGGAUUCACGUCUUAAACAUUUUUUGUAGGUUUAAUUAUACAAUUGGUUCCUUAAUUAUAAUUAAAAGUUCAAUUUGGUGUCUCAAUUAUUAAAAAAUUUAAUAUGGUCCCUCAAUUACUAAAAAGUUAGGUUCUCUAAUUAUUUGAAAACACUAUAAUCAUACCCUUUUUGUCAGUUACACUAGUUUGAUUGAUGUGUUUGUAAACUAACAGCAAGGUUACAAUUAUAGUGUUUUUAAAAAAUUAAAAGUCUUGAUUGAACUUUUUAAUAAUUAAGGGACCUAAUUGAACUUUUAAUUCUAAUUAAAGGAUCAAUUGUAUAAUUAUUAUUUUUUUUUACCCUCGUGGCGUUCUUUGAUUGUUAUGACUAUUGAAUUGACUUGAGAGUUGGCAAUCGCUCCAUUAUUAUUCCCUACACAGGCAAUGAGAUUAUGUUAUUGUGUGCAAAGGAAGGCAAACUAUGGUGUACGUUUCUCUAUUCCCCCACCCUAAGAUCUGUUGUAUGAAGGGGGCCUACAAAAUGAAUACUUCAAAUUCAAAGAUGAAGGAUGAUGUUUUUGAGCCAUAACAUUAUACCGAAGUGUCAUUCCUAAUGAAGAAGGAUCAAAUAAAACUUAGUCGUACGCCACAGAGAUAGGAUGUUGUGAUGUAGCCAAUUUAUGGAAUCGUAUGAUGUCUACCAUUUAAAAGGAAAAGAAAAAAACGUUUUCUUCAUGUGUCUAGUAGCCUAAAGGUUUGGCUGGCUGUGUAGAUAUUUCGGAAUAAGUGGACAAGGGAUGCAAAUUAUACUUUCAGAAAUUCUUUCGAAAUAUGUAGUUUUGAAGUUUCAACACAUGAUUAGAGCAUGACAAAACCCAAACCAAACUAUGCUAUGAAUAUAUUAGAUCAAGCCAUGUCUUCCAGGAUUUUCAAAGUCUACUAGAACUACUUCAGGUCAAAGACAAGCGACAGGUUGGCCUAAAGCAAAGGUGGAAGAGAUGUAGAAAGUUUGUGUUUUGAUUACCAUCCAUAUAGCUUGGAUGCACGUCAGUGAAGCAACCAACUAUUAAUUAUUUGGGGUCCAUUUUGACUUGAUAAUUCCUAGAAGUGGAGUAGGGAUGGUAAUUCAAAUACAGUAUGUAUUUGGUACUCUACUUGAUGGGAUAAUUACAAGACUCGAUUUGGGUUAAGAAGUACCUAAAUGCAACUAUGGAGUAAACUUUUACCUAUGUCACUAUGUGAAUUUUUCCAAUAUUAGACUUCAUGAGAGCUUUGGGUGGCCCUCCACCUAAUUUGAGAACAACCCUUCUGGAUUUUUCAAUAUUUAGACUCAUGAUGGAGUGAGCCUUUGUUAUUUGUUUCAUAACAAUAAUAUCAUUAUGUUUAUACUUUA